rnacentral:rRNA from 1 species
CUACAGGCUUAACACAUGCAAGUCGCGGGGUAACAUCUGGUAGAGCUUGCUCGUUCCAGGAUGACGACCGGCGCACGGGUGAGUAACGCGUAUCCAACCUGGCCCAUACCACGGGAUAGCCCGUCGAAAGGCGGAUUAAUACCGUAUGCUGUCAUUAAGAGGCAUUUUUUGAUGACGAAAGGAUUGGCGGUAUGGGAUGGGGAUGCGUCUGAUUAGCUUGUUGGCGGGUAACGGCCCACCAAGGCGACGAUCAGUAGGGGUUCUGAGAGGAAGGUCCCCCACAUUGGAACUGAGACACGGUCCAAACUCCUACGGGAGGCAGCAGUGAGGAAUAUUGGUCAAUGGGCGAGAGCCUGAACCAGCCAAGUAGCGUGCAGGAAGACGGCCCUAUGGGUUGUAAACUGCUUUUAUAGGGGAAUAAAGUGAGCCACGUGUGGUUUUUUGCAUGUACCCUAUGAAUAAGGACCGGCUAAUUCCGUG